rnacentral:tRNA from 1 species
CGGGGCGUGGCUCAGCUUGGUCUAGAGCGCCUGCUUGGGGUGCAGGAGAUCGGAGGUUCGAAUCCUCUCGCCCCGACCA